GCUUAUCACCAUUCCAGAUUGAAUAUACCCGAUCUCGUCUGAUCUCGGAAGUCAAGCAAUCUC
rfam:Ciona savignyi cont_40435, whole genome shotgun sequence.